AAGAGAGAAUCCUCAAACCCGUCCCUCCUCACCACCCACCCCUCGUCCUGCCCGAAGUUUCCCAGCGUCUCUUUAUUCCCUCCGCUGAAACCCUGCAACUCAACAUCAGCGACCCAUUUUCACGUGGGGAAAAAAGACCCGAAGGGGAAAGUUUGCACUUCUCGGAGGAGCCCGAGAUACAUUAUUUUGAAGGCUGCCCGGAACGGAAUGACCCGAAGAGCACCCGCGGGUUAGGAUCACUCUGCCCCAUCCCACCGCUCCCACGGCCGUGGAGGGACGCACGACGCUUUCAUCUCCCCUUCCAAAAACCAGAGUGGGGGGAGAGCCCCGACAUUCCCCCACCUCGCAGGACGGGAAGGGAGACGUUUUGUCGCCCGCUGCUGCGGCACAGACAAUGGCCGGGCUGUGCAGGGGACGGGGAAGGCUCGGCGGGGCCGGGGGCGGCCGGGGGACCCCCGCACACCCACCGGGCUGAGCUGCCGGUUGAUAACUAGCCUGAAUACAGCUCGGAGACACUGGGGCUGCGAAAAGUCGGAGCAGUGCCCUCUCUCUGCUUCUCUUUCUCUCUCUCUCCCUCUCUCUCUCCCUUUUUUUUUUUUUUUUUUUUUUUUUUCCUCGUUUCUUUUUAACACUGAGUGCUUUCCCGAUGGAAGCCCGGAGCGAUGUGGGACCGCUUUGGGGCUGCAGCUAUGCUGCCCCGACGGCGCUUCCUCGGGGCGGACGGUAUCGCCCAGCGCCCUUCCAACACCGCCACUCAACAGCUGUGCGAAUCCCUCCCCGAUUCCUACGAACACCACCACCACCAAAUCCAAAUUAAAAACAAAACCACCACCACCACCAAAAAAAAAAAAAAAAAAAAAAAUCAUUGACGAAGCGGCAAACCUUUCCCUCCAUCUAAUUAUUAUUAUUAUUUGUUCCCAUUUCGGAGCCGAUCCAGCGCGCUGCUUUACUUACAAGGAACGCAUUCGCGGAGCCGUGUUGGGAAAGAUCCGGGCAAAAUUAAGAACCGUUUGGCUCCGCUGUGGUCCCCCCCCCUCCACACACACACCGUCCCCUCCCGCCUCGCUCUGCUUUUGGACCUCAAAAAUCCCGAGGAGGUCUCUGAAAUAAAGCCCAGAACUUUCCGUGCCCGCUUUGGAUGGAUCGGUUCGGCUGUGUGCACCCACGGACGUGCGACAAUGUGUGUGCCUCGUCAUUAGUGCGGGUGGAUGCGGACGCGCACAUCUUAUCUACCGGUGUGUGCGUGUAAAAAGAGUCGUAAAAACGCCAUCCGGUCGUGAAAAGGAGAAAAAGACAAAAUAUACAUAUAUCCAAAUUCGGGUUUGAGCUUAGAUUGGGAUCGGAAAUUAAGAAACUAGGACAAAAAGAAAAGAAAGAAAUGCAUCCCGUCCCCGAAUAGCAGAUCGCGUUUCUCUUCUAAUUUCAUCUUUUCCCCUCUUUCUCGACAUUUGCCCGUAUUUAAUCGAAUUACAUUUAAUUCGGGCUCUAAACAAUCCAACUCUUGCCUUUAAGUUGCCUCAUUCCAACCCCCAGAUCGUUUCUUUGAUGUUUUAAAUCGCAUCAAACAGCUUUUCCACGAAAGAAAAAAAAAAAAGAAAGAAAGAAAAAAAAAGUUUAGGACUUGGCAUGCCGGCUACAAAUUUGCAAAUAAAUAAGCAUUUAAGCAUUUAC